rnacentral:rRNA from 1 species
GACGAACGCUGGCGGCGUGCCUAAUACAUGCAAGUUGAGCGCUGAAGGUUGGUACUUGUACCAACUGGAUGAGCAGCGAACGGGUGAGUAACGCGUGGGGAAUCUGCCUUUGAGCAGGGGACAACAUUUGGAAACGAAUGCUAAUACCGCAUAAAAACUUUAAACACAAGUUUUAAGUUUGAAAGAUGCAAUUGCAUCACUCAAAGAUGAUCCCGCGUUGUAUUAGCUAGUUGGUGAGGUAAAGGCUCACCAAGGCGAUGAUACAUAGCCGACCUGAGAGGGUGAUCGGCCACAUUGGGACUGAGACACGGCCCAAACUCCUACGGGAGGCAGCAGUAGGGAAUCUUCGGCAAUAGACGAAAGUCUGACCGAGCAACGCCGCGUGAGUGAAGAAGGUUUUCGGAUCGUAAAACUCUGUUGGUAGAGAAGAACGUUGGUGAGAGUGGAAAGCUCACCAAGUGACGGUAACUACCCAGAAAGGGACGGCUAACUACGUG